rnacentral:ncRNA from 1 species
CGCGCAAAUUACCCAUUCCCGACGCGGGGAGGUAGUGACGAAAAAUAACAAUGCAGGACUCGUUCGAGGCCCUGUAAUUGGAAUGAGUACACUUUAAAAGCUUUAACGAGUAUCCAUUGGAGGGCAAGUCUGGUGCCAGCAGCCGCGGUAAUUCCAGCUCCAAAAGUAUAUAUUUAAGUUGUUGCGGUUAAAAAGCUCGUAGUUGGAUUUUGGGCGCAGGCGGCCGGUCCGUCGCAAGGCGUGUACUGGACGUCCUGGCCUUCCCUGCGGUUCUCCGCCGGUGCUCUUGACUGAGUGUCGGCGGCGGCCGGAACGUUUACUUUGAAAAAAUUAGAGUGUUCAAAGCAGGCUCUCGAGCCUGGAUAAUGGUGCAUGGAAUAAUGGAAUAGGACCUCGGUUCUAUUUUGUUGGUUUUCGGAGCGCGAGGUAAUGAUUAAGAGGGACAGACGGGGGCAUUCGUACUGUGCCGUUAGAGGUGAAAUUCUUGGAUCGGCGCAAGACGAACGACUGCGAAAGCAUUUGCCAAGAAUGUUUUCUUUAAUCAAGAGCGAAAGUCAGAGGUUCGAAGACGAUCAGAUACCGUCCUAGUUCUGACUAUAAACGAUGCCAACUAGCGAUCGGGGGGCGUUACAUUGACGACCCCUCCGGCAGCUUACGGGAAACCAAAGUCUUUGGGUUCCGGGGGAAGUAUGGUUGCAAAGCUGAAACUUAAAGGAAUUGACGGAAGGGCACCACCAGGAGUGGAGCCUGCGGCUUAAUUUGACUCAACACGGGAAAUCUCACCCGGCCCGGACACAGUGAGGAUUGA